CCUACGGGAGGCUGCAGUGAGGAAUAUUGGUCAAUGGGCGGAAGCCUGUACCAGCCAAGUAGCGUGCAGGAUGACGGCCCUACGGGUUGUAAACUGCUUUUAUACGGGAAUAACGCGCCUUACGUGUAGGGCUUUGCAUGUACCGUAUGAAUAAGGACCGGCUAAUUCCGUGCCAGCAGCCGCGGUAAUACGGAAGGUCCGGGCGUUAUCCGGAUUUAUUGGGUUUAAAGGGAGCGUAGGCCGCAUGUCAAGCGUGCUGUGAAAUGUCCGGGCUCAACCCGGGCCUUGCAGCGCGAACUGGCGUGCUUGAGUCCGCGGAAAGCAGGCGGAAUUCGUCGUGUAGCGGUGAAAUGCUUAGAUAUGACGAAGAACCCCGAUUGCGAAGGCAGCUUGCUGCAGCGGAACUGACGCUGAUGCUCGAAAGCGCGGGUAUCGAACAGGAUUAGAUACCCGGGUAGUC
rnacentral:rRNA from 1 species